rnacentral:rRNA from 1 species
AAGGCAUACGGCUCAGUAACGCGUAGUCAACCUAACCUAUGGACGGGAAUAACCUCGGGAAACUGAGAAUAAUGCCCGAUAGAACAUUAUGCCUGGAAUGGUUUAUGUUCCAAAUGAUUUAUCGCCGUAGGAUGGGACUGCGGCCUAUCAGUUUGUUGGUGAGGUAAUGGCCCACCAAGACUAUUACAGGUACGGGCUCUGAGAGGAGUAGCCCGGAGAUGGGUACUGAGACACGGACCCAGGCCCUAUGGGGCGCAGCAGGCGAGAAAACUUUGCAAUGUGCGAAAGCACGACAAGGUUAAUCCGAGUGGUUUCUGCUAAAGAAACCUUUUGUCAGUCCUAGAAACACUGAUGAAUAAGGGGUGGGCAAGUUCUGGUGU